rnacentral:rRNA from 1 species
UACGGAGGGUGCUAGCGUUGUUCGGAAUUACUGGGCGUAAAGCGCGUGUAGGCGGCCCGCUAAGUCUGAUGUGAAAGCCCGGGGCUCACCCCCCGGAAGUGCAUUGGAGACUGGCGGGCUCGAGUCCCGGAGAGGAGGGUGGAAUUCCUGGUGUAGCGGUGAAAUGCGUAGAUAUCAGGAGGAACACCGGUGGCGAAGGCGGCCCUCUGGACGGUGACUGACGCUGAGACGCGAAAGCGUGGGGAGCAAACAGG